GGGGGGGUAGCCAAGCGGUCAAAGGCUGCAGACUGUAAAUCUGCCGGCGUAUGCCUUCGCAGGUUCGAACCCUGCCCCCCCCA
rnacentral:tRNA from 1 species